GACGAACGCUGGCGGCGUGCUUAACACAUGCAAGUCGAACGGAAAGGCCCUGCUUUUGUGGGGUGCUCGAGUGGCGAACGGGUGAGUAACACGUGAGUAACCUGCCCUUGUCUUUGGGAUAACUUCACGAAACUGGGGCUAAUACCGGAUAGGAGCUCCUGCUGCGUGGUGGGCGUUGGAAAGUUUCGGCGGUUGGGGAUGGACUCGCGGCUUAUCAGCUUGUUGGUGGGGUAGUGGCUUACCAAGGCUUUGACGGGUAGCCGGCCUGAGAGGGUGACCGGCCACCUUGGGACUGAGAUACGGCCCAGACGCCUACGGGAGGCAGCAGUGGGGAGUAUUGCACAAUGGGCGGAAGCCUGAUGCAGCAACGCCGCGUGCGGGAUGACGGCUUUCGGGUUGUAAACCGCUUUCGCCUGUGACGAAGCGUGAGUGACGGUAAUGGGUAAAGAAGCACCGGCUAACUACGUG
rnacentral:rRNA from 1 species